AUUAUUUUUAUUUUUAGCUGAAAAGACGUAAAGGCAGUCAGCCCAGUGGUGUUUCUGGAGAGGGAUUCCUUCAGAAAUGGAGAAGACAGAAAGCUGCGGAGGCAGAUAUUUGCAGCAGUAAGUCUGUGAUAGUUUGUCUCUUUUAUCAAAAAUUCCUGCUGUUAUAAUUUGUACAGCAUUUGUUGUUUCUUAAACUGUUGCACUGUCCAAAUACCCACACUUGCCAUCUUUUCACUUGACCACUUGAUUACUUAUUUGAAGUCUUUCCUGUAUUUGGCCUAGUGUUCGAGUGAGCAUGAUGACCACGAGUGUGUGUCGAACUUUUCAUGACCUGAUGACUGUGUUUCCCAAUCCUGGUCCUGGAGAACCCCAGCACUGCACGGUUUUGGUGUCUCUCUUAUCUGCCUUGGAGUCUUCACUGAUGAGCUGAUGAGUUGAAUCAGGUGUGUUUGAUCAGGGAGACAUCUCAAAUGUGCAGUGUUGGGGUUCUCCAGGACCAGGAUUGGGAGCCACUGCCUUAUGGGACACUUAUGUGUUUAAAGAGAUUUUUAAUAUCUAAUUAUCAAUAUUUCACAUACUGUACAUUGGACAGCUUUCCAUGACCUCUUGUGAGAUCUCGGCAAAAAGUCUGACGAUUUAUUCCAAAACAUGAUGCAUGAUGGGAUACACUAAGCUUUGUAUAGCGCUCCGGAGCAGUAUUGGAGAGGUUUAGUGUGUGUUAAGGACGCUGUGCUUUGGCAUUAUUAAGACCGGGGACAGUCUUGUGCACACACUGUCACGUACACACACUCUCAAGUGGCCAAGACUGCAAGUGUGGGUAUCUGGACAGGGUCAAAGUCUUAAAAAUGAUCCCUAAACACAUCACAGUCUUAAUAAUCCAGUUUAACACUUGUAUGAUAUUGUACAAGCCCCAGGACUGUCUCAUCUGACACUAUCAAAGAAUUCAUAUGACUAUAGCUUGCUAUUAAUUACUUGCUUUCAAUAAUGGAUUCAUUUAACAUUUAAUUAUACAGCAUCUUUACAGAGGUGUAAUGUACAAGCUGCACGUAAUUAAUAAUAUGUCCUUCCUUCUGUCUUACAGGAUUUUUUCCAGAUAAUGCUGUUCUUCUUUUUCAGGUCUAAAAUAUCGAGCUCAACAGCUAUUUUAAGAGCCAACCCUCACAAACCUUCCUAAAACCUAAAAGAGCUAUUACUGAGUCUCAGCGAAUCUUGCCAUGAUCAGCUCUUCCCAGAAGAGAAGGAAGACCAAGGAAAUGAUUUGCUCAGGAUGAGGAAUGAAGAUGGCCAUCUUGAGCUCAAACAAACAGAAGUCCUCUGAUGAUCUCAUCAGCCAAAUGAGGGGUUUUGACCAAGUGAUGCUCUUGAAAGGAGUGAAAGAAGAGGAUGUGGUAAAUUGUCUUCAGAGAAAAGCUUCUCAAAAGAUCUUAAAACAGCUUGAAGAAUGGUCUGGGAUCUUAGGACUGAGAGAUCAUCUGGCUGAGAACAAGCUACACCUCAUCAGUGCUGGACAUCAACCACAAACUGUUUCCAGACACGAGAGAAGAAGAUCACGAUGGGGAGAUGAAACCAGUUUAGAUGUGAUGAUGGGAAUCAUUAUUUUCUGAAACAGUAUCACAUGUCUUAUAUGUAUCACAUGAUCUGUAUCACAGUUGACUGGAUGGGACUGUGUGACUUUUAAGGACAUUUCAUCACUCAUCUGUGUGAACUGAUUUAUAUAUGAGGUUAAUGUAUCUUUGAUGAUAAUUAUUUUCAUUGAAUCUUAUUUGUCUUGAUGCUACUUUAUCAAGUUUAUAGUCUAUGCUUCAAUAAAAUGAAAAUGGUGAA